rnacentral:rRNA from 1 species
AGAGUUUGAUCAUGGCUCAGGACGAACGCUGGCGGCGUGCUUAACACAUGCAAGUCGAACGGUAAGGCCCUUCGGGGUACACGAGUGGCGAACGGGUGAGUAACACGUGGGUAAUCUGCCCUGCACAUCGGGAUAAGCCUGGGAAACUGGGUCUAAUACCGAAUAGGACCACAGAACACAUGUCCUGUGGUGGAAAGCUUUUGCGGUGUGGGAUGGGCCCGCGGCCUAUCAGCUUGUUGGUGGGGUGAUGGCCCACCAAGGCGACGACGGGUAGCCGGCCUGAGAGGGUGUCCGGCCACACUGGGACUGAGAUACGGCCCAGACUCCUACGGGAGGCAGCAGUGGGGAAUAUUGCACAAUGGGCGAAAGCCUGAUGCAGCGACGCCGCGUGGGGGAUGACGGCCUUCGGGUUGUAAACCUCUUUCACCAUCGACGAAGGUUCGGGUUUUCUCGGAUUGACGGUAGGUGGAGAAGAAGCACCGGCCAACUACGUGCCAGCAGCCGCGGUAAUACGUAGGGUGCGAGCGUUGUCCGGAAUUACUGGGCGUAAAGAGCUCGUAGGUGGUUUGUCGCGUUGUUCGUGAAAUCUCACGGCUUAACUGUGAGCGUGCGGGCGAUACGGGCAGACUUGAGUACUGCAGGGGAGACUGGAAUUCCUGGUGUAGCGGUGGAAUGCGCAGAUAUCAGGAGGAACACCGGUGGCGAAGGCGGGUCUCUGGGCAGUAACUGACGCUGAGGAGCGAAAGCGUGGGGAGCGAACAGGAUUAGAUACCCUGGUAGUCCACGCCGUAAACGGUGGGUACUAGGUGUGGGUUUCCUUCCUUGGGAUCCGUGCCGUAGCUAACGCAUUAAGUACCCCGCCUGGGGAGUACGGCCGCAAGGCUAAAACUCAAAGAAAUUGACGGGGGCCCGCACAAGCGGCGGAGCAUGUGGAUUAAUUCGAUGCAACGCGAAGAACCUUACCUGGGUUUGACAUGCACAGGACGCCGGCAGAGAUGUCGGUUCCCUUGUGGCCUGUGUGCAGGUGGUGCAUGGCUGUCGUCAGCUCGUGUCGUGAGAUGUUGGGUUAAGUCCCGCAACGAGCGCAACCCUUGUCUCAUGUUGCCAGCGGGUAAUGCCGGGGACUCGUGAGAGACUGCCGGGGUCAACUCGGAGGAAGGUGGGGAUGACGUCAAGUCAUCAUGCCCCUUAUGUCCAGGGCUUCACACAUGCUACAAUGGCCGGUACAGAGGGCUGCGAUGCCGCGAGGUUAAGCGAAUCCUUUUAAAGCCGGUCUCAGUUCGGAUCGGGGUCUGCAACUCGACCCCGUGAAGUCGGAGUCGCUAGUAAUCGCAGAUCAGCAACGCUGCGGUGAAUACGUUCCCGGGCCUUGUACACACCGCCCGUCACGUCAUGAAAGUCGGUAACACCCGAAGCCAGUGGCCUAACCCUUUGGGAGGGAGCUGUCGAAGGUGGGAUCGGCGAUUGGGACGAAGUCGUAACAAGAGCCGC